rnacentral:tRNA from 1 species
CCCCGACUAGCUCUGUAGGUAGAGCAUGAGACUCGCAAUCUCAGGGCAGUGGGUUCGUGUCCCAUGUAAGGCG